rnacentral:rRNA from 1 species
GCUGGAUUCGCUAGUAAUCGCGCAUCAGCCACGGCGCGGUGAAUACGUUCCCGGGCCUUGUACACACCGCCCGUCAAGCCAUGGGAGCCGGGGGUACCUGAAGUGCGUAACCGCGAGGAUCGCCCUAGGGUAAAACUGGUGACUGGGGCUAAGUCGUAACAAGGUAAC